GAUGAACGCUGGCGGCGUGCCUAAUACAUGCAAGUCGAGCGAACAGACGAGGAGCUUGCUCCUCUGACGUUAGCGGCGGACGGGUGAGUAACACGUGGAUAACCUACCUAUAAGACUGGGAUAACUUCGGGAAACCGGAGCUAAUACCGGAUAAUAUAUUGAACCGCAUGGUUCAAUAGUGAAAGACGGUUUUGCUGUCACUUAUAGAUGGAUCCGCGCCGCCUUAGCUAGUUGGUAAGGUAACGGCUUACCAAGGCAACGAUGCGUAGCCGACCUGAGAGGUGAAUCGGCCACACUGAAACUGGGAAACGGCCCAGACUCCUACGGGAGGCAGCAGGAGGGAAUCUGCCGCAAUGGGCGAAAGCCUGACGGAGCAACGCCGCGUGAGUGAUGAAGGUCUUCGGAUCGUAAAACUCUGUUAUUAGGGAAGAACAAAUGUGUAAGUAACUAUGCACGUCUUGACGGUACCUAAGCAGAAAGCCACGGCUAACUACGU
rnacentral:rRNA from 1 species